ACAUUAAUAUGACAUUUUUUAUACAAAUCUAUUGAUUUUUAUAAAUACAUUUUUUGCACUCUUGUUGCAUACAUGUAUGUGUGUAUUCUGAAGAAAAACUCUUGUAGAUAUAGAUAUAGAAUUGCAAUUAAUGUUGUUUAUUGAUAGAAUCUUGUAUAGCUUUAUUUACAUAUACAGCAUGUUUUUUUUAUAGGGAGAGCACCUAUCAUUAAUCAAGAUGUGAUUUUUUAAAUUGUUUACAUUUCAUUUGUCUGAUGUUCGAUUGUUAUUUUAUCUCUCUUUAGAGGUUUAUCUAUAGGGCACCAGCAAUCUAUAUAAGUUUCACAUAUGGAGUUUGCUAAUUCAAACAUUGGUUUAAUGAGGCAAUUAAUGGUGUCUACACAUGUACAGUGUUCUGCCUUGGUACUAUAUGAUCUUUUAAUAUAGACGUUGAUGACAAUGAAAUACAUGUAUUUUGCUGGGUUAAAGAUAGGCCAUGUGAGUAUUGCAUCUGUACAAGUACACAUACUUGUAAACCAAAGUUAUGAAAUUGAAUUAGAAUUAGUAUCAAUAUUUGUAGAACUUGUAUUUAUCUACUGGUAGUUAUUUUCUAUAAUUUUCCAACUACAAUGUAAGUUUAAUGAAAACUGAAAAAAUUCUAUCAUAUGAAAACUUCAAAUUUUAACUUUUUAUGAAUAUUCCUGUUAUUUAAGUUUUUAAUUCAGCUAUAUUGUAUUUAAAAUGAUAUGCUUUGAAUUACAUGUAUAAAUUGUCUAUUUAUGU
rnacentral:sRNA from 1 species